GCCGAGGUCGCAUAACCUGGUAGUGCGCACGCCUGGAGAGCGUGUUCCCUAACGGGAUUAUGGGUUCAAAUCCCAUCCUCGGCG
rnacentral:tRNA from 1 species